UGGGGAAUUUUGGACAAUGGGCGAAAGCCUGAUCCAGCAAUGCCGCGUGUAUGAAGAAGGCCUUCGGGUUGUAAGGCACUUUUGUCCGGAAAGAAAUCCUUGGCUCUAAUACAGUCGGGGGAUGACGGUACCGGAAGAAUAAGCACCGGCUAACUACGUGCCAGCAGCCGCGGUAAUACGUAGGGUGCAAGCGUUAAUCGGAAUUACUGGGCGUAAAGCGUGCGCAGGCGGUUUGCUAGGACCGAUGUGAAAUCCCCGGGCUCAACCUGGGAACUGCAUUGGUGACUGGCAGGCUAGAGUAUGGCAGAGGGGGGUAGAAUUCCACGUGUAGCAGCGAAAUGCGUAGAGAUGUGGAGGAAUACCGAUGGCGAAGGCAGCCCCCUGGGCCAAUACUGACGCUCAUGCACGAAAGCGUGGGGAGCAAACAGGAUUAGAUACCCUGGUAGUCCACGCCCUAAACGAUGUCAACUAGUUGUUGGGGAUUCAUUUCCUUAGUAACGUAGCUAACGCGUGAAGUUGACCGCCUGGGGAGUACGGUCGCAAGAUUAAAACUCAAAGGAAUUGACGGGGUCAUAGCUGUUUCC
rnacentral:rRNA from 1 species